rnacentral:rRNA from 1 species
GAUGAACGCUGGCGGCGUGCCUAAUACAUGCAAGUCGAGCGAACGGACGAGGAGCUUGCUCCUCUGACGUUAGCGGCGGACGGGUGAGUAACACGUGGAUAACCUACCUAUAAGACUGGGAUAACUUCGGGAAACCGGAGCUAAUACCGGAUAAUAUAUUGAACCGCAUGGUUCAAUAGUGAAAGACGGUUUUGCUGUCACUUAUAGAUGGAUCCGCGCUGCAUUAGCUAGUUGGUAAGGUAACGGCCUACCAAGGCAACGAUGCGUAGCCGACCUGAGAGGGUGAUCGGCCACACUGGAACUGAGACACGGUCCAGACUCCUACGGGAGGCAGCAGUAGGGAAUCUUCCGCAAAGGGCGAAAGCCUGACGGAGCAACGCCGCGUGAGUGAUGAAGGUCUUCGGAUCGUAAAACUCUGUUACUAGGGAAGAACAAAUGUGUAAGUAACUAUGCACGUCUUGACGGUACCUAAUCAGAAAGCCACGGCUAACUACGUG